ensembl:lncRNA
AUAUGUGUGUAAAUAUUCUACAAAUGGUUGUUGUUUUUGAGCUCAGGCUGUGUAGUCACAGUUCCUCAGAAAUAUGGAACACUUGCUACUGAGAAGAAAAUGACUUUUUCAUGAAUAUUUCAGUAAAGAGCAACAUGUCACCCCUGUAGCAUUCAAGAUGGUGGCUGUGUUGGACUUCUGAACACCACUUGACUGUUGUUUUGUUUUCUUAACCGACUGCCAAAAGCACAUAGAUAGUGUGACAAAAGUGGAGCGGUUGAAUAGUGAGGACUGGGCACAGCGAGCUCCAACUGGAACGACAACUUGAGUUUACGUGGAAAACUGUGAAAUGCCUCUCAGUGUUACAGCUACUGGACACAGCAAUCAAGUUCUGCCUUGGUAAAAAAAAAAAAAAGCCUCGGUUUGAAAAUCUUCUACUGUACUGGUAACUGAAUCACACAUGACUGUUAAUACUAAUAGCUUGUUGUAUUUAUUUUUAAUAAGUGCUUUGAAGAAAAUAUUGACUUUUUAGGCUCAAAGACGAGAGAAUCUUUUAAUAUGAAUUAAUCAAGUGUGAAAUUAUUUAAAGUCAUUCAACUGGAGCCAGUACAACUUUCUCAACACACAAGGUCCACUAGGUCUUCUAGGGCCUUUGGUUUUUCAAGCUUGAGAUGUAUGUGACCUCUUUAUGGAGAAUAUAUUUAUUUAACUGUGCCAGAGGGAACCUACAUGAGGGAGCAGAAACUCCGAUGUUAAAGCAGCCAGAAAAAGACAAAACACAGAACUCCUGGAACUCACACCCUCAAUCACUCCUUCGCGGGCAACUAUGUAGACCAGCACUGUGGCUUUGCAGUCAGUAACACCCCCCCCCCCUCCCCCUUCUCUCGCUCUCUCCCUCCCUUACCCCCCCCCCCCCUAGGGGUGCCUGCUGGGUCUCCGUGUGCCAACAACAAAAAGGCUCCAUCUUGCAUGGACAGUGCAAGGGGGACGGGCGGGGAAUCGAAAUCGACACAUGAAAAAGAGAAAAGUGUGGGUGUCUGCCAGGCAUGCUUUGAUGACAUCCAUUGAUAGCCUGUAUCUCUUCCACAUGUACAUUUGUGCCUUACACCCUCAGUAGUGACAAUUUAUUUAGCGGUUAAUGUUUCCCGGUAGUCUUUCGUUACGUCACCUUUCCCCCGCUUUGAUAAAGGCAAAUAAAGAAUGUAGGUGUUCUUGUUGUAACUCUGGUCCCUAGGAAUAUACAGGGGUGGUGGGGAACCCCCGCGUUCUUCUUUGUGGUUGAUUUCUGAUUUGUGCCAAUGAUGCGCUUAAAGCAACCUCUUUGUUGUGCUGGCCGUGUCGAUGAUGUUGUGGGUGUUUCUUUUUCUUUUUUUUUAUCUCAUACAAUUAGUCCUGUUGUGGUUUAAUUUUUAUUUCGCUGUUUGAUUGGAGUGAUUUAAUGUUUGUUCUUGAGAGGGCCUCUUCGGGUCUUGCUGGUGCUCAGCAAUAAUCAAACACUAACGUACGAGGAACACACCAAUAUAACGCCCUGUCAUGCGCCCGGCAUCCCACUGUACGCCACAACACUUCAGUUUCUAGGCAGAGGAAAAAGCAGGCUGGUUCCUGUGACUUGGAGGAGUUUCAAAACUCUCGGCGUGUAACCCCCUUUUUUUAAAACAGGUUCCAGGAGGAUCCAGUUCAUUUGAUUUGUACUAACGCUCUGCAUCAAGGUCUUGCGAAUCUGAGUUUAAUUGACCGAUAUGACGUUUGACACUUUGUUUCAACUUGAUAACCGUUUUUAUUGACCACUCUGCCCAAACUCUACAGAGCACUCCCUCGGUGUAUAGUCUAGAUAGGUGAGUUUCUUGAUCUCGAGCAGAUUUCCAUUGAGAGAAGCCAAUUAUUUCUCAUCCACAGCCAACGCAAGAAGAGCCUGUAGGGCGUCCCCACUUCUGAUGCAUAUAUAGUAUGUGUUAAUUGAACUAACGUGUACAUAAAUGCUUGUAGGGUCCGAUUGCAAUGACUGCAUCAUGCAUCGUCAUGAGAUUAGGCUUGGUAAAGGGAAGGUCAAUGAAACUUCCCACCUUCAUAGUGCAGACCACAUCUCUGGCCGCGGUCUCCAUGGUUACCGUGGGCAGAGGGUCUCUUUGGUGUGUGCCUUUGUCUUUCACCCUUGCUAUAUACUGCUAGAUGAAACUGAGACAGAAUCUCAACUCGUUUUGAACUUUGUAAGCUUGUAAGAUAUUGUGAUGUCACAGGUUUUUUGCCCUACUUCACUUCCUUAACAUCUGAUUCACAGCUUAAUGUAUGUUGUCAAGAAAACUCUCUUUAAUAAAUUCAAAAUG